rnacentral:tRNA from 1 species
GCGGGGAUAGCUCAGUUCUUCAGUUGGGAGAGCGUCAGACUGAAGAUCUGAAGGUUGUUUGCGUGUUCGAUUCACGGUCACCGCA